GACGUAGGGCGCGAGCGUUGUCCGGAUUUAUUGGGCGUAAAGAGCUCGUAGGCGGCUUGUCGCGUCGAAUGUGAAAACUCGGGGCUCAACUCCGAGCUUGCAUUCGAUACGGGCAGGCUAGAGUUCGGUAGGGGAGACUGGAAUUCCUGGUGUAGCGGUGAAAUGCGCAGAUAUCAGGAGGAACACCGAUGGCGAAGGCAGGUCUCUGGGCCGAUACUGACGCUGAGGAGCGAAAGCGUGAGGAGCGAACAGG
rnacentral:rRNA from 1 species